rnacentral:lncRNA from 1 species
UCAACUAAAACACAUUAAGGCUCGAAAAAAUGUCGACUUAAAUAAACAGAUCAACCAAAAUAGAAUAGAAUUAAAAAAAAUAAUUAAAUUGAUUCACAUCUCUAUCUCUGCAUUCUCUUUUGAGACUAGUGGUGGGCUCCGAGUUUGAGCCUAUCGUCCUCUGCUGUUACUACACACAUUCAAAUUAAAAAUUCGUAAUCCAAUUUUGCUAAAAAAUUUC